rnacentral:ribozyme from 15 species
AAAGACAGAUUAAAGAAAAAAUUGUGUAGAAAACCUUAAGGGGGAAAUCGGUGUCAAUGUGCUGCUGGGGCUUUGUUUAUGCAAUUUUUUUUUUUAGUUAAUAAUACUAUUUUAUCCCAUCCAAAACUUUUCAUGUAUCGCACCUUAACUAAAUUCCAGGGAGGAAGGGAAAAUGUUGUAGAUUCUUUAAAAAAUUGAUCGACUUUCUUUGCCUGGGUUUUUCUGGAAAAUUCUAUCCACCCGAUUAUUUUUUUUCCGUGUAUUUGGGGAAGAAAAAAAAA